rnacentral:rRNA from 1 species
UACGUAGGGUGCGAGCGUUAAUCGGAAUUACUGGGCGUAAAGCGUGCGCAGGCGGUUCGUUGUGUCGGUGGUGAAAUCCCCGGGCUCAACCUGGGAACUGCAUUUGUGACUGCAUAGCUAGAGUACGGUAGAGGGGGAUGGAAUUCCGCGUGUAGCAGUGAAAUGCGUAGAUAUGCGGAGGAACACCGAUGGCGAAGGCAAUCCCCUGGACCUGUACUGACGCUCAUGCACGAAAGCGUGGGGAGCAAACAGG